AACCUGCCUUUCAUCACCCACCUUUCGGCGACGCGCUGCAGUAUCACGACUACACCGCAAAACCAAAGCCCGAACAAAAGAGAUCCUCCGGGACACAGCGGCGCCCACAGCCCUUAGAAAAGGCUUAUUUACCAGAGUUCCCUGAGGUCUGGUGGAAGGAGUUUCAUCUUAUUUAGGACGGAGUGUUCCAAGGUCUCUCACUCUCAUUAUAAUGUCUGCCUGUGGGUCUCCGUAUUUGUUCCCAUCUGCUGUAGGAGGAAACUUCUCUGAUGAUGGCUGAACAAGGCACCAAUCUAGGAGUAUACAGAAUGUUGUUAGAAUAAUAAAUACCAUCUUAUCACCACA